rnacentral:rRNA from 1 species
GAUGAACGCUGGCGGCGUGCCUAAUACAUGCAAGUCGAGCGGACGGACGAGAAGCUUGCUUUUCUGAUGUUAGCGGCGGACGGGUGAGUAACACGUGGAUAACCUACCUAUAAGACUGGGAUAACUUCGGGAAACCGGAGCUAAUACCGGAUAAUAUUUUGAACCGCAUGGUUCAAAAGUGAAAGACGGUCUUGCUGUCACUUAUAGAUGGAUCCGCGCUGCAUUAGCUAGUUGGUAAGGUAACGGCUUACCAAGGCAACGAUGCAUAGCCGACCUGAGAGGGUGAUCGGCCACACUGGAACUGGGACACGGUCCAGACUCCUACGGGAGGCAGCAGUAGGGAAUCUUCCGCAAUGGGCGAAAGCCUGACGGAGCAACGCCGCGUGAGUGAUGAAGGUCUUCGGAUCGUAAAACUCUGUUAUUAGGGAAGAACAUAUGUGUAAGUAACUGUGCGCAUCUUGACGGUACCUAAUCAGAAAGCCACGGCUAACUACGUG